AUUUAGAACCAGCAAUUAAAAUGUCAUUUGUCCAGACAGGGAAUUCCACAAUAUGGGGCAGCAACAGAAAAGACUCUUGUCUCUUGUCACGAGCAGCGGUGCUUCUGAGGUGCUUACCUGAGGAUCUCAACACCCAGGCAGGUUUAUGUAGGGAGAUAUGAUAUUUCAGGUAGCCUGGGAGCCUUUAAAAGGGUUGGCCUUUUUGCAAAAAGACCAACCUAUGUAUUGCAGACAGGAGGGAGAUCAAAGCUCCAUGCUACAUUUUCCCUACAAAACUAUAGGUCUGGAUAUGUCAAGUAAACUUAGGGCACAUUCUUCUUCCAAAGGGAAUGCUGGGAAUUGUAACCCUGGGAGGGGAAUGGUGUGUGUGUGUCUCCUAACAACUCUCAGCACCCUGAACAAAAGGCAGGGCCCAGAAUUGUUUGCAGGAAACUGUGGAUGUUUAAAGCGGUAUGGUACCACUUUAAAUGUACAGUGCAGAUGGGGCCCGGGACUAACACUGGAUCUACUAAAUAUUUGGAAGAGUGGUUGGUCUGCCUGUCCACCUGUUUGUUGGUUGUCUAUCUGCCUCUUGAGAAAUCAUCACUAAACUUGACACAAGGGGUCCUGAGGUGGUGGCGGCAGUUAGCAGUGGCAUUUGGAUGCCGGGUGCCAACUUGAAUCAAGAUGGUGGACCAAAAUAUGACUGUAAAGCGACUUGGCCCUUUUUGGCAUAGAUUUGGCUGCCUCUGGGGAUAUCAUUACCAAACCUGGCAUGCGGGUUCCCAAAGGGCAGGGGGAACGUGGUGUUUGCCUACACUUGGAUUCCAGGCGCCAUUUUGAUUCAAGAUGGCGGACCCAUUAUUUGGUGUGAUGGGUCCACACACAGACAAAUUACACUAUCCAUUUUUUAAAAAAACAUUUUUUUGAUUUCUACAAAUUCCUGGGCACUCCCAGCUAGUUCUUAAUUAAGGCAGAGCUAUGGGACACGAUUGGCACUGUGGGUUAAACCACAGAGCCUAGGACUUGCCGAUCAGAAGGUCGGCGGUUCGAAUCCCCACAACGGGGUGAGCUCCCGUUGCUCGGUCCCUGCUCCUGCCAACCUAGCAGUUCAAAAGCACGUCAAAGUGCAAGUAGAUAAAUAGGUACCGCUCCGGCGGGAAGGUAAACAGCGUUUCCAUGCGCUGCUCUGGUUCGCCAGAAGCGGCUUAGUCAUGCUGGCCACAUGACCCAGAAGCUGUACGCCGGCUCCCUCGGCCAAUAAAGCGAGAUGAGCGCCGCAACCCCAGAGUCUGCCAUGACUGGACCUAAUGGUCAGGGGUCCCUUUACCUUUUAUGGGUCACAAGGAACAUGGGACUGAUGUCAAGGCUGAUAGCCCCACAUCACGCUGCUGACUAACUUCCUCCUUGUCAACCUGGCCCACUCAUGAUACACAAAAACUUUUGAAGAAAUAGAAUACAGUAAAGGACACACACUUAGAAAGAACAGCCCUCCCUUCCCCUGUCUUCAGGUACCCUUGAAUCAAGGAGAACACGGUCAAUGGAACGUGCCUUGCCUACAGAUGAUGUGCUGCGUCUCUCCAAUGGUGUCACUGCACCUUGGUAAAACAUCAAAGCUUUGAUAAACAAGGAAGUUUGGAGGCAAUUCUUAUUAAUAAGAGCCACUAUUCCAUUCAUCGCAGAAGGCUCUUGGGAGAUGAUUCCUUUGAAGAAAAAAACCCACCCACCCUGCUUGAAGAGGAGGACUGCUCUGCCUCUGAAGGAUGGCGCCAGAUCUUUCCCGCCAAAGGUGACAUUUCUUCUCCAUUAAGUUUUGGGAAGAUCUUUCAGAAGAACCUUGAAUCAAAUUGAGAGCUGUACUGAAACCCACUCUCUUGUUUUAUUUUUUUUAGAUUUUAAACAUCUUUACUGAACCUUCAAAAAGGGCAUAAUUAUAUCUGCACUAAACAUGGUGAGACAUAAAUAAAAGAGAAAGAAAAAGAGAAGCAGAACCUGUGUAGAAGGGAAAAUAAAGAGGGGAGGGGGGAACCCCAAAACUGUAACCUUUACAAGGUUGUUAUUCACCAGAUCUUAACCUAUUACAGUAUUUGUAAGAAUGGAUUCCAAAUAUCAUUGAAUUUGUCCAAGGCAAAUCUGCGUUUAUAUGCAAGUUGUUUAUAUGUUGCGAGUUUGUAUAAAUCUUCAAUCCAAU
rnacentral:lncRNA from 1 species